UUUAAAUACCAUUUUUUUUCCUAAGAUUAUGAAACAAAAAUUAUUAAUUAUUUUGAAAAUAAGAAUAAAAACAUAAUAGAGAAUAUAAAAAUGGUCUUCUUUUUGUUGAGAAAAUACAAAUAUAUAUACUGUAGCCAAAGUUAAAACAAUAUUAAUCUAUAUCUAAGAAUGUAUCCAGAGAAGAAUGAUGUAAAUAUUGAUAAGAACCUACAAUAUGUAUCUAUAUGUUCUAUUACAUUAUUGAUGUAUUACAAUUGAGGGAUCACAUUAACAUCCAACAACAAGGGAUGUUUGGCCCUUGAGAAGGUCAAUGCUUCAUAGAUGAAGGCUGGAACCCUGAUGAGCAUACAAAGCAUCUACUAAAUGGUUGUAUUCAAAAGAAUCAAACAUCAAAAGGCAAGGUGGAUUCCUCUAAGCAUCUGCUGGAAGAAGUUGAAGAAGUUUUUCCAACCGAAACAGUGGCAUAUCGGGACAUAUGCAAUCAGUCAUCCUCUAAGAGUACAUUAGCUUUCCCUAUUAUUGUUGCUCUUUAUAGAAUUGUAAUGCAUAUUAUUAUGUUCCUAGGCAGGUCUGCCAUCCCUUUCAGUGGCUAUGAGCUCAAUAUUCAUAUAAUGUACAUAGAAAUCUUUUGUAUAGUUUUGGUCCAUGGUUGUAUGUUGCUUAUUCCAACACAGUGCUUAUUUACUAUUUCAGUUUUGAAAUAUAUGGUUUGAGGUCAAUUAUGCAUCUGAUUAGAUAGGUAAAUAGUAUGUCUUUUCAAGUAGUUAUCAAUCUACCUAUUCCUUAAUCAUGAUUGGAACUUUUAGUUUAUAUGGAGUCUAAUUUAUUAAUUGUUUUAUUAUCAUGCCCAUUUCAGCGUAAUGUACUUAGUUGGGAUGAUGGCAUAAGAAAUGGCAUAAAUACCUCAUUUAACUAAUCCCUGAACCCUCAUACUCAGUUUUUUCCAAUUUAAAGUCAUGAAAGGUACAUUGUGCCUAAGCACAUCCAUGUGAGUAUCAAAAUAGAAUAAGCAAUUGAAGAACUCUACAUAUUCAGAACCAACUAUCAUAGAAACAAUUCUGAGUAGAAUUUUGUUCAAUUCAAUUCAAUAUUUUAGAAUUUCAAUCAACCCUCAAUCUGUUUUCUUGAUAACAAUGAAGUUGGUGGUUACCACUAACUUUAGUAGAGUUAGACUCCACUUAGCAGUUGCAUGUUCACCUUCCUUAAACUAUGCAAUGUGAGCACACUGUCAACUUUAUAAGAAUGCCAACUGAGAGUUAAAGAAGCUGGAAAUGGGCAAGUUCAGUUAGGAACCAAUGUAACCUAAUUGUUUCAAAAUAACUGCAACUACUAAAAUUACUAAAGAUAGUAUCAAGCCUGAUCUUCUUAAUAACCAAUUCUUGGUGGAUCGUGCUUGGUGGGUUGUCUUUUGGGCCUUUUCAGCCCAUAGCAUCUGCACAAAUAACCCAUCAAUGUCAUGAAGAGAAAUCAUGUAAAUUGAACAGAUCAUUAUACAAUAGCCCAACAUAAUAUAUACUAGAGCAGCAAGCCUAACAGGCAAUGAAAGAAAAGAACAUACUUACGAUUUG